rnacentral:rRNA from 1 species
UACGGAGGAUGCAAGCGUUAUCCGGAAUGAUUGGGCGUAAAGCGUCCGCAGGUGGCAAUGUAAGUCUGCUGUUAAAGCGUCUAGCUCAACUAGAUACAAGCAGUGGAAACUACAUCGCUAGAGUGCGUUCGGGGCAGAGGGAAUUCCUGGUGUAGCGGUGAAAUGCGUAGAGAUCAGGAGGAACACCGGUGGCGAAGGCGGCUUCCUGGACCUGUUCUGACACUGAGGAGCGAAAGCGUGGGGAGCGAUCCGG